rnacentral:rRNA from 1 species
UAGUCCACGCCGUAAACGAUGAGAACUAGCUGUUGGGGCCCAUAGGGUUUCAGUGGCGCAGUUAACGCAUUAAGUUCUCCGCCUGGGGAGUACGGUCGCAAGAUUAAAACUCAAAGGAAUUGACGGGGGCCUGCACAAGCGGUGGAGCAUGUGGUUUAAUUCGAUGCAACGCGAAGAACCUUACCAGGCCUUGACAUCUAGCGAAGUUUCCAGAGAUGGAUUCGUGCCUUCGGGAACGCUAUGACAGGUGCUGCAUGGCCGUCGUCAGCUCGUGUCGUGAGAUGUUGGGUUAAGUCCCGUAACGAGCGCAACCCUUGUCCUUAGUUGCCAGCACUUCGGGUGGGAACUCUAAGGAGACUGCCGGUGACAAACCGGAGGAAGGUGGGGACGACGUCAAGUCAUCAUGGCCCUUAUGGCCUGGGCUACACACGUGCUACAAUGGUUGGUACAGAGGGUCGCCAAGCCGCGAGGUGGAGCUAAUCCUUCAAAGCCAAUCGUAGUCCGGAUUGGAGU